CUUAACUUUUGCUUUGGUCGUUAUUAUGCUUGUCCCCCACUAGCAUUCUACUAAUAUGAGUCCACCAUCCUAAGCAACAGAGAGUUCCCAGGACCCUUCUUCCCCCACAACAUUUUCCACAGAAGCAAACAAACUCUGAAAGAGGGAGCAAGGAGAGUUGGAUGGUUUCUUGGAUGCCACAUCAAGACAAGUAGUAGUUUUUCCCUUCCGUAGGAGCUGUGCAAGGCAUUAGAGUUGAUCCUGUACUGUAUUCGGAGCUGGCUGGAGACUCCUCAUAUAGAUCAGGUUGCCUACAAUGUUUUAACCAGCAAUUAGACACUCUAUGAUGUGCAGAACUUGCUUAAACCAGAAUAUCAAACCACGCAGUUUUUAUUACCUCCAAGAUGGUCGACUCCCAUCAUUACUACUCCUUAAAUCCUCUAUAAAGUCUUUAAAGUCUUCAAGUUGAAAAUCGAUGUCAGUGAAUCUGUAUCUGAGGAUAUCAUUUUCUUUCUGAUUCAAGAAGUCUUGAAGGACCUGAAAUCAUAUAUAUUGAAAAAUAUGAGGACAUACUAAAUCUGCAUGCACAGCAUCCAUUCCACUCAAAUAAGAAGUUUAGGGUCCUCUUCUUAAGUUUGUGAGGAACAGUGUAAUCAAUUCAACCUUUUCUUAA